UCGGGAAUCUUCCGCAAUGGGCGAAAGCCUGACGGAGCGACGCCGCGUGAGCGAUGAAGGCCUUCGGGUUGUAAAGCUCUGUGGGGAGAGAAGAAUAAGUUCAGGCCAAUACCCUGAAUGAUGACGGUAUCUCCUUAGCAAGCACCGGCUAACUCUGUGCCAGCAGCCGCGGUAAGACAGAGGGUGCAAACGUUGUUCGGAUUUACUGGGCGUAAAGCGUGUGUAGGCGGCUUCGCAAGUUGGAUGUGAAAUCCCACGGCUCAACCGUGGACGUGCAUCCAAAACUGCGUCGCUAGAGUCUCGGAGAGGAAGGUGGAAUGCUUGGUGUAGAGGUGAAAUUCGUAGAUAUCAAGCAGAACACAUGCGGCGAAGGCGGCCUUCUGGACGAUGACUGACGCUGAGACACGAAAGCGUGGGGAGCAAACAGG
rnacentral:rRNA from 1 species